CACGUAGGGCGCGAGCGUUGUCCGGAAUUAUUGGGCGUAAAGAGCUCGUAGGCGGCCUGUUGCGUCCGCUGUGAAAGCCCGGGGCUUAACCCCGGGUCUGCAGUGGAUACGGGCAGGCUAGAGGUAGGUAGGAGAGAAUGGAAUUCCCGGUGUAGCGGUGAAAUGCGCAGAUAUCGGGAGGAACACCGGUGGCGAAGGCGGUUCUCUGGGCCUUACCUGACGCUGAGGAGCGAAAGCGUGGGGAGCGAACAGG
rnacentral:rRNA from 1 species